AUGUGUGCGCUUUCAAGGCGGUCUUUCUGUUGCAAGAAGAAGAAAAAGAAAAAGAAGAAAACAGGAAAACGAAUAGGUCGGACGGCCGACGAAGGCGUGCAAAUGCAAUUUAAUGACGGAGAAAGUGACGUUGGCGGCAGUCGCGUGCGGCGGCUUUUUGAUCUGAGUUGGAGAUAGGUGGAAUCACCUCAGCGGCGCGUGAAGGAGGAGGAGGAGGAGGAAGAACGAGCGAGGGAGGGCGGGGGUGUAGCAGGGACCUCACCGGGUACGGGACCUACAGGAACCCCGGUUGCGCUCCUGCACUCUCUUUUUUUCUUUUUAUUUAGAGGUGAGGACAAAAGGUGGGGAGAGGAAAAAAGGGAGGAGGAAGAAUGAGAAGAAAAGGCCGUGGAUCUGAGUGUCGUGACGCCUCUCUCUCCCCCCUCCUCUCCCUCCCACGGUCGGGGGUUGUCUGGGCUUAGAGAGGGUGAAAGCGGCGGAGGAGUCGACUCGACUCGGGGGUUUCCUGCCACCACAGCCACUAAACAGCCUUUGGCGCUUCUUGGGGGCCUUCUGCUGUUUUCAGAACUGUGAACGCUUCUUCCCAGGAUCAGAUGGAAAAUGGACACAAUUUCUUGGAAAUACUCAGUGAAAACACAAGACUGAAUUGAGAUGAAAAUAAAGAAGAAUAAAUGGAUUACCCUCCUUUUGGAAAAUUGUUGCUAUGGAACUAGGCAGAAUUAAAUGGCUGACAGAAAAAAACAAAGGUAAGACAGCUAAAUGCUGAAGAUGUGGACGAACACCUAGACAAAUCUGAAAACUGACAAGAAGAGGGCAAAUACGGAAGAAGGACCAAAGACUACAAUUUAACUGAACACAGGCAGUAGCAAAAAUAUAUAUAAAUGUGUGUGUAU